GACGAACGCUGGCGGCGUGCCUAAUACAUGCAAGUCGAACGCUUUUUCUUUCAUCGGAGCUUGCUCCACCGAAAGAAAAAGAGUGGCGAACGGGUGAGUAACACGUGGGUAACCUGCCCAUCAUAAGGGGAUAACACUUGGAAACAGGUGCUAAUACCGUAUAACACUAUUUUCCGCAUGGAAGAAAGUUGAAAGGCGCUUUUGCGUCACUGAUGGAUGGACCCGCGGUGCAUUAGCUAGUUGGUGAGGUAACGGCUCACCAAGGCAACGAUGCAUAGCCGACCUGAGAGGGUGAUCGGCCACACUGGGACUGAGACACGGCCCAGACUCCUACGGGAGGCAGCAGUAGGGAAUCUUCGGCAAUGGACGAAAGUCUGACCGAGCAACGCCGCGUGAGUGAAGAAGGUUUUCGGAUCGUAAAACUCUGUUGUUAGAGAAGAACAAGGAUGAGAGUAAAAUGUUCAUCCCUUGACGGUAUCUAACCAGAAAGCCACGGCUAACUACGCGCCAGCCGCCGCCGCAGUAA
rnacentral:rRNA from 1 species